UGACACCCAGGCGAAGCUCCACCUUCAGACUGAAAGCCAGGUGCAGGCUUCUCAUCUGGUGUCCUGACACCAGGU
rnacentral:lncRNA from 1 species